rnacentral:rRNA from 1 species
UACGAAGGGGGCUAGCGUUGCUCGGAAUUACUGGGCGUAAAGCGCACGUAGGCGGCUUGUUAAGUCGGGGGUGAAAUCCUGGAGCUCAACUCCAGAACUGCCUUCGAUACUGGCGAGCUCGAGUUCGGGAGAGGUGAGUGGAACUGCGAGUGUAGAGGUGAAAUUCGUAGAUAUCUGGAGGAACACCGGUGGCGAAGGCGGCAUCCUGGACCGGCAUUGACGCUGAAUAGCGAAAGCCAGGGGAGCAAACGGG